GUUAGUAAAAUUUGUAUGGAGUUGGAACGUUUGCAUAUGUUUGCCGCUAGGAGCACUGUUCCAGCUGCAUACAAAUUUCCGGUA
rnacentral:pre_miRNA from 1 species